CUUUCUAACGAGAACAAGACUUGCCUGAUGGAUGGCUGCAGAGAAAUUGGGGAAUUCAUGACCCGGAUGGCCAGUUUCAUAUGGAAUGAGCUAUUACAGGGAGCUGCAUUUAAGUCUCCAAAGCAGCCUUCAGAGCUUCAUUCUCAUCCAGCUGGAUCACAAGCCUAUGAGGAAACAAAAGGAAACUUUCAUGUGAGCUACAAAAAAAUUAAAACAGUGCUUCAGCUCCAGGGAAGAAAACACUGAAACACAUGCUCUCUGGUAGUUUUGUAACAGGCAUGAGAAAGAGCAGACCUACAAACACUUGCUCCUUUUCUCUUAGAGACAGAAAAAUAUAUUAGAAGACAAAGAUACUUUUCAGAUGUUUUGUUAAAGAUUAUAAUAUGUUUUUUGUUUGUUUGUUUUUGUGGUUUUUUUUUUCCCCACCAAUAAGCUUGCAAUCAAUAGCUAAGGAAAGAAAAAAAUAAAGGCAUCUUUCUUGAAGUGCUUCGUGUUGCUUAACAUUUCUGGGUAUCUGUGUCAUUUUCAGGCAGUUGGUGUAAGAAUGAUACAGGAAAACUCAAUCCAGAGGAUCUGUGAUUUGUACAGUUUGCUGGUUUUCCUUCUGAGGAGCUGGUCCAGGUAAUAUCACUGCUAGGAGGACAGCAAUGAAUCUGAGCUAUUACUGAAACAGAAAGUGGCAGUAAUACAGCAUAGAGGAAGGGAAACCAUACCUUGUGCUGAGCUCCUCUAUCUGCGAUUCUAGAGGCAGCUUGGACAGCUGGCCUGCAGAGAGCUCCUUCCUAUCACCCAUGUUCAAGGACAGCCUUGACUGACCUGCAGACUGGCCUGGAAAUUUCAUCACAAAAUGGAGUGUUAGUAAAACAAGCAACACAAGCAACCUUUUUCACCUUGUGAGACUUCAACCAAAUCUCAGGAAACAGUGAAUGAACACAGUUCUAUGUAUAUCCAAGAAGACAGUGUAAACAUAUAGGACAGGGUUUUAUUUUAAUCUCCUUCCAGCAAAAUUAAAGCAUGAUGAAUAUGCAUUUCGGGGCUAAAUGUGUGUUAAGUAAUAUGAGUUUUUACGUAUCUAGACAAGAAAAAUAAUCCAAAAUAUUCAAGUGCCCAAAACAGUAGAAGACAGUAUAGAAGCAGACAAAAAGUGUGAUUUCAAUGUCUGUCUUGUCACUGUAUUUCAUUUAAGCUAAUGACAGCUGUUGCUUACUGAAUGCCAGUGAUGACAUUUGUGUGUGGCACUCACUGAGAUGGCUUUUUGAAAGUAAUUUUUGAUCCUCAGCAUAAACACGAUCUAGAUUAAACUCAGAAAAGUAGCUAAACGUAUUUCAAAUUAAGGUUGUAAACCAAGAAUGCUUUCCAAAAUAAAGUCCUCUCAGAA